AUCCAGCUAAAUAGUCCCAAACAGGACGAAACACGCUUCCCGGAU
rfam:Schistosoma mattheei strain Denwood, Zambia genome assembly, scaffold: SMTD_contig0015332